rnacentral:pre_miRNA from 1 species
UUAACCCAUUUAACAACUCAACCCUUUAAAUUAAAUGAGUUAUGGGUUGAUCCAACCCAUUUAACAAAAUAAGUUGGGUCAACCCAUAACCCAUUUAACCCUAAACUCAUUUGAUUAUGAGU